rnacentral:tRNA from 8 species
GGAGAGAUGGCCGAGAGG